rnacentral:rRNA from 1 species
GAUGAACGCUGGCGGCGUGCCUAAUACAUGCAAGUCGAGCGAACAGACGAGGAGCUUGCUCCCCUGACGUUAGCGGCGGACGGGUGAGUAACACGUGGAUAACCUACCUAUAAGACUCGGAUAAUUACGGGAAACCGGAUCUAAUACCGGAUAAUAUAUUGCACCGUAUGGUUCAAUAGUGAAAGACGGUUUUGCUGUCACUUAUAGAUGGAUCCGCGCCGCAUUAGCGAGUUGGUAAGGUAACGGCUAACCAAGGCAACGAUGCGUAACCGACCUGAGAGGAUGAUUGGCCACACUGGAACUGAGACACGGUCCAGACUACUACGGGAGGCAGCAGUGGGGAAUCUUCCGCAAUGGGCGAAAGCCUGACGGAGCAACGCCGCGUGAGUGAUGAAGGUCUUCGGAUCGUAAAACUCUGUUAUUAGGGAAGAACAAAUGUGUAAGUAACUAUGCACGUCUUGACGGUACCUAAUCAGAAAGCCACGGCUAACUACGUG